UACGAAGGGGGCUAGCGUUGCUCGGAAUCACUGGGCGUAAAGCGCACGUAGGCGGAUUCCUAAGUCGGUGGUGAAAUCCUGGAGCUCAACUCCAGAACUGCCUCCGAUACUGUAGAGCUUGAGUUCGGGAGAGGUGAGUGGAACUGCGAGUGUAGAGGUGAAAUUCGUAGAUAUUCGCAAGAACACCAGUGGCGAAGGCGGCUCACUGGCCCGAUACUGACGCUGAGGUGCGAAAGCGUGGGGAGCAAACAGG
rnacentral:rRNA from 1 species